CAAUUCUCAAACCUUCUUGGUUUCUUGACCAAGAUGGCUUUGGACUUUGGAGGCGUUUUGCUGGCUUUGCAAAAAGCCAGCUCCUCUUAAAUGCAUUAGUGGGGUCCCCUUUGCCGAUCCCCAGGCGUGAUAAGAUGUUUCUACGUCUGGGAUUUGCUCUGUUUCCUUGGGAACCCGCUUCCAACCGUCUCAUGGGAGACGUCGUUCGAGCUUGCUCGACCCACGAA
rnacentral:misc_RNA from 1 species